rfam:Triticum aestivum genome assembly, contig: Triticum_aestivum_CS42_TGACv1_scaffold_629582_7DS
CAAGUACUCCCUCCGUCCGCAAAUACUUGUCAUUGAAAUGGAUAAAAAAGAUGUAUCUAGAACUAAUAUACAUCUAGAUACAUCCCCUUUUAUUCAUUUUGAUGACAAGUAUUUCCGGACUGAGGGAGUACUAC